AGACCCUUCCCAAACGCUGCCUGUCCCAAGCCGCCUUCUUCUCUCUUGCUUCCUGCCAGGCUACCACUGCUCCCACAUAGCUGAGAGAGAUGCUAUGAAUGGGAGCAAGCUUCCCUUUUUUAUAGACCUCAAGGGAAGUUCUUCAAUUGCGGUUUGGGAGUUGGAUGGCAACUAACAUUGGUGAACAUAGGCGGCAGUGGUGGUGCUGACUUCAAUCUUCCAGCGUUUCCGGCGAGGCGGUGGUGGUGGUGGAGAGGGCAUAGGGUGCUGUUCCUGUUAAAAUCUAAUCCAAGUGGAGUUGGCUAAUGGUAUUAUUUGUUGACAUUCCCAGUGAUUUACAGAGUGUUUUUGAUGGUUGGUGUCUUAAUUGAUUUUUCCUUGGAAAAGAAAUUGUCUGCUUUGCUGAGAGUUGAUGCCUUUGGAGCAUCUCUGGUCUCACCCGCUUUAGAGCCCUUCUUUUCUUUACCACCCCCAGCAGCAAAUGUCCUGCAGCCCAGCACCCUGACUGCCUCCCCUGUGAUGAUGAAACUUCUCAUUGAUUUUAUGCAGUUCAUUGCCAUGUCUUUUCCCUGCAAAAAUAUUUUACAAAAUCAUCAAUAGUUCAAGGUUCAAUUUCAACGUAACAUGCUUCCUUUAAUACCCCAUAUCCACCACUUUGUAAUACGCCACUGCUAUACUCUACAAUGCGGCAAUAGACUACAAAUCCCUUUAAUGAGUUGGGCAAAGCAGUAGGGACUCAAGCAGUAGUCUCUCUACCAGUGCAUCACCAUUCCAACAACACAACCAAUUGUGGUCUUCAAAUCUAGCAUAUCUUGCAAUGUUCAUCUAUCGCAUCCUUCCCUAGAGGCAGAUUUGUCUGUCCCUUAAAUCUAUUAGGGUUGGUGAUUGUGCACAGCUGCAGCGAAUUUCAGAGGAGAUGUUUCACCACAAUAAUAAUGCUCUUGAAGAUUUGAACAUCUUGGGGUAUCCCAAUCUCAGAAUCAUACCAGAUUGCCUCUACAACCUCAAAGAUCUUCAGAUCGGAAAAUGUGAGAAUCUGGAGCUGCAGCCUCAUCAAUUGCAAGGCCUCACUUAUCUUACUUCACUCAAGAUCACUAAUUGUGAGAAUAUCAAGAUGCCCUUAUCAGAAUGGGGCCUUGCCAGGUCGACCUCUCUUAAAACUCUCACCAUUUCUGAUUAUCACCACCACCACUCAUUGCUUCUUCCUACUACUCUAGCUGAGCUUUUCAUUUCAAGCUUCAAGAAUCUGUAAUCCUUGGCUUUCCUGUCUCUCCAAAGGCUCACCUCUCUUAAAAGGCUAUGCAUCUCCAGUUGUCCUAAUCUCCAGGGCUGUUUAACAUGCUUUCAGAACUAUUUAUAACAUAUUGACCACUCCUAAUUCAAAGGUGCUCAAAAGAGAAACGGGAAGAUUGGCCCAAGAUUGCCCACAUCCCCUAUGUGAAAAUAGAUGACAGAUUGAUCCUUUAGCAAUAAGGAGUUGAGAUUGCAGCAAAAUGUACGCAGAGACCAUUCCACUAUAUAUAUAUAUAUAUAUAUAUAUAUAUAUAUAUAUAUAUGCUUGGUAUUUUUUCUUCAGUGUGCCACAAUUCCUUUUUGUGCACAUUGGAUGUGAAGGAGAAAAUAAUGCAAAUGGAAUCCAAUUCUCUAACCAGAGGUUCAGCCAAUCAAAUUGAGUAUACUCUAUUUCAUUCAUAUCUUUUUUGACUUUAUGCAUUUCAAUUGCGUUGUCCUCAAGAAGCAUUCUUUUCUCAUAUAUCUCUAUAUAAAGUUCCGCAUUUUUUUUCCUUACGUGUUCAUAGAUAUGCAUUUAUCAACUUAGGCCAUGUUCUUAAUGCUUUUAAACCUAUGAUUUCACAUUUUCCCAUCACAGGAUUGGACCAUAUCUUUAUAAUUUUCCAUUAAUCAUCAUCUUUGUUCAACUCAAAGGUUUUUCAAGUGAGUAAUAAAGACUACAAAUGGUUAGAUAUCACUUUUUUCUUUGUCCUCUUGAUUGCCAUGCUUCUCUAUUUGGAAUUGGAUUCUUCUGUUUGUAACUUAUUUUUCGUUACAUUUUUAAUUGCAUUCCUUCUUACAAUAAUUCAGGAUUGACCUUUUCUCAAAAAUAAUUGUUCUUCUUCUUAGUCUCCUCUUCAGUUAAUGUAAGCAUCAAAUUUCUAUCUCUUUGUUAUAUAUGUCUUCCUUUUUCUCAUUACAUAUACAUGAGGAAGAUUUUUUGACUUCCAUUAUAAGUUUUCAAUAACUAUGUUUGCAUUUCUUUUUAUUUCAAGGAGAUUCAGGGGUGAAAAUUCUUUUGCAUUUGUCUUGACAUUUGGCGCUUAAAACUCUACAAUGGUGUUUGGUGUUGAAAAAGGGGUACUUCAUUGCAGAAUAAUGAAAGUGUAAAUAGUUCUUUACCAUCAAAAAAGGCUUCAUGGUUGUUAAGAUCCAUCUAAUUCCUUGUCCUUUUCUUGACAUGUUGUUCAAUUUGUGGAAGAUGUGGGAGGAGAGCUUGAAUCAAAUUAAGCCAACUCCUUGCAAAAGACGAAUUCUUGCUAAGAAACCUCACCACUCGCAAGUUCUUUCUUAUCCAAGAAUUCUACAGCAGGUAAUUCGAGAUUAUGUCUCAUCUUUCUAUUUCUUCAUGCUGGUGCACUCACUGAUUUCACUCGUGUUUUCAUCUGAUGGUGACCAACUCUUCCUCUUCUACACGCCAUUAUGUGAUAAUAAUCAGACCUCUCUGUCUUGCUUGAGUUCAAGCAGAGCUUUCUGAUUGGUCAGCAUGCUUCUGAUGAUCCUUCUGCUUAUCCGAAAGUUGCAGCUUGGAAAUCUGAAGGAGAUGGUAGUGACUGCUGCUCAUGGGAUGUCUUAAGAGUGUGACAAGGACACUGGCCAUGUGAUCCGCCUUAACCUUGGCAGCAGCUGUCCCUAUGGUUCUAUCAACUUCAGCAGCGCCUUCUUCCACCUUGUGCAUCUUCAAGGGCAUGAUCUCUCUAAUAAUGAUUUCAAUUACUCUAUGAUCCCAUCAGGAGUUGUCCAGCUUUUGAGUCUUAAGAAGUCUAAAUGACACCUCUCCUGGAUUCUCCGGCCAAAUCCCAUUGGAUUUCUUUGCACUGUCCAAACUGAUUGUCCUUGAUCUCUCACAAAAUCCAUUGAAGCACCAGUAACCUGACCUUGCUUCAGAUUCAGGGGUGAGAAGCAUUUCCUCCUUGUAAUACAAAAUGCUUUUGGGAAGCUGGUUGUAGCAUUCCUGGUGAAUGGUGUUUUGCUCUGUCAACUUGGUACACUUUCAGACUUGUUCUCUUGCAUAUCGUUGGACCAGCAUAAUAAUAAUAAUAAUAAUAAUAAUAAUAAUAAUAAAAUAAAAUAAAAUAUAAAUAUAAAUAUAAAGCUCAUUUAUGAAAAAGACUUAUUUUUCAAAAAAAAUUUCAAAAAAAAGUGGACGAAUUUAAUUUACAUUCCUUUUAUUAGACCCCAAUCAACUUAAGGGAAAAAGGCAAGCUUGAGUAUAACUCUUUUAAGUUAAAAAGAAGGAUUUGAAAGAAAAUCUCAUAUUGUUUGGUUGCGCUUAAAUUUGUUUUUAGAUUUAUUUUAAAAUUUUGAUAUAAAACUAAAAAAAAAUAUAGGAAUAAUUUAGAGUUGUUUAGAUGCAUCUCUUAUUUUUUUUAUUUUAAAUUAAAAAGAAUAAAAGUUUUUAUAUAAUAUAUACAAGAAUUUUUAGAAAAUUAAAUUAAAAAAUUAAUUGCCUUAAAAACUGUUUAAAAAUUUAAUGCAUAUUUUUUUCUUUUUCUUUUUUCAUAUUUUAAUAUUUUUUUAAAGUAAUUUAAAAAAAUAUAAGAGAAAUUUAUGUAUAUGUUUUUUAUAAGGUGUUUCUACUUUUAUAUAGAUAUUUAUAAUUUUUUUAAAAUAGAAAAUAUACUAAAAGGGUUACGUAGCCUUUUAUUUUAAAUACUUUUAAAAAAUAUUUAUGUUUAAAACCAUCAAAACGGCACCUUAGUGCGGAGCUCCGAUAAUUGUGAAAGGCUGCCACGGCUGCCAUGCUCUGCUUUUUCCUCAGGGCCCAUGACGGCAAAAUCCUACCGUUUAUGGAAAAAAAUAGGGUUGCUCUGCUUUUUCUUCAGUCGUGGGCCAUGACCGCAAUUGGAAUCCUACCUUUAAUAGAAAAAAGUAUAGGUUCCUUUUAUAGAAAAAAAAAGAGGGUUUUUUUAAUUCUAGAAAUUAAAUAACUUAAAUUAAUAAAUUAUAUAAUUUUAUAUUUUAUUUAUAUAUAAUAUUUAUUUAUUAUUAUAUUUAUCAAUUUAUAAAAUAAUAUAAAAUUUUUAAAUUUAAAUAUAUAAUUUUUUAUUAUUAAAAUAUAUUUUUUUAAUUUCAAUAAUAAUCUGUAAUUUAAUAUUUUUAAUUAAAAUUUAAAGAAAAAUAAGAAUUAAUUAAAACACAAUCGAGGCUUAGCUUAAAAAUGAACUCUCAUUGUAAAUUUCGAUUUAAUUUAAAAAUAAAGUUUUCGAUUAAGGUUUCAACUUAAAUUAAAAAAUAAAAAAUAAAAACUUUUAUGACAUGGCUCCGUGGCAAUGAAGGGGUAGGUGGGGGUUAUAAGUGACAUUUCAUUUUAUAAAAGGGUUAUUUUUUGCCCCAAAACUCCCUGUUUGAUUGCUGAAGCCUACACGAUUUGAUUUGCCCUUCCAGAACACCAUGGAAGUUGUUGGAGAGGCUCUUCUUUCCACUGCCCUCGGCUUGCUGUUUGACAAGUUGGCUUCCUCUGAUCUUAUUAAGUUCGCCCGGCAGGAGGAUGUCCACACCGAACUCAAGAAAUGGGAGAAGGAGUUGCAGAGCAUCCGGCAAGAGCUCAACGACGCGGAGGAGAAGCAGAUCACAGAUGAGGCUGUCAAAUUAUGGCUGUUUGAUCUGAGGGUUUUGGCGUAUGAUAUGGAGGAUGUCUUGGACGAGUUUGCUUACGAAUUGAUGAGAAGAAAGCUGAUGGGGGCGGAAGUUGAUGAAGCCAGCACAAGCAUGGUACGCAAGUUCAUUCCUACGUGCUGCACUAGUUUCAGUCCAACUCAUGUUGUGCGUAAUGUCAAGAUGGGGUCUAAGAUUAGAGGGAUCACAAGCAGAUUGCAAGACAUUUCAGCUAGAAAAGCUGGACUUGGCCUGGAAAAGGCGGCAGGAGGAGCUACUUCCGCUUGGCAAAGGCCACCACCCACUACACCUAUAGCAUACGAACCUGGCGUUUAUGGCAGGGAUGAAGAUAAAAAAGCGAUUCUUGAUUUGCUGCGCAAGGUUGGGCCCAAGGAAAACAGUGUUGGCGUCAUUUCCAUUGUUGGCAUGGGCGGUCUGGGCAAGACAACACUUGCACGACUGGUUUACAACGAUGAAAUGGCCAAAAAUUUUGACCUAAAAGCGUGGGUUUGUGUGUCUGACGUGUUUGAUGUGGAGAAUAUAACAAAAGCAAUUCUCAAUUCGGUGGAAAGUUCUGAUGCAAGCGGCUCGUUGGACUUCCAACAAGUUCAAAAGAAAUUGACAGACGAGUUGACAGGGAAAAAGUUUUUACUCAUUCUAGACGAUGUGUGGAACGAAGAUUCUGAUAAUUGGGAUCGAUUGCGUGCCCCUUUGAGUGUAGGGGCAAAAGGAAGCAAAGUCAUAGUUACAACACGCAAUAAAAAUGUUGCUUUGAUGAUGGGAGCUGCCGAGAAUCUUCAUGAACUAAACCCCUUGUCAGAAGACGCUUGUUGGUCUGUGUUUGAGAAGCACGCAUUUGAACAUAUAAAUAUGGAAGAUCAUCCAAACUUGGUGUCCAUUGGGAGGAAAAUUGUUGGCAAGUGUGGGGGAUUGCCCCUAGCAGCAAAAGCCCUUGGUGGUCUCUUACGCUCUAAACAGAGGGAAGAAGAAUGGGAAAGAGUAUCGAAUAGCAAAAUUUGGGAUUUUUCAAGCACGGAAUGUGAGAUUCUUCCUGCGUUGCGGUUGAGCUAUCACUAUCUCCCGUCAUAUUUGAAGAGGUGUUUUGCAUACUGUGCCAUGUUCCGCAACGACUAUGAGUUUGACUCAAAAACUUUGGUCCUCCUGUGGAUGGCUGAAGGUUUAAUUCAGCAACCAAUCGCUGACAACCGCACAAUGGAAGAUCUAGGAGACGACAAUUUUUGUGAAUUAUUGUCAAGGUCAUUUUUUCAAUCAUCAGGUAUCGAUGAAUUCCGUUUUGUGAUGCAUGAUCUUAUCUGUGAUCUAGCUCGAGUUGCUUCUGGUGAAAUAUGCUUUUGUUUGGAAGAUAACUUGGAAAGUAAUCGACAAUCCACAAUUUCCAAAGAGACUCGUCAUUUAUCAUUCAUUCGUGGAAAAUUCGAUGUGUUAAAGAAAUUUGAAGCCUUUCAAGAGUUAGAACAUUUACGAACAUUUGUGGCUUUACCAAUUCAUGGUACGUUUACAGAAUCUUUUGUAACUAGUUUGGUGUGUGAUCAUUUGGUGCCAAAAUUUCAACAGUUAAGAGUCCUCUCUUUGAGUGAAUAUGUGAUAUUUGAGCUACCAGAUUCUAUUGGUGGAUUAAAACAUCUACGUUAUUUGAAUUUGUCUUUCACCCAAAUCAAAUUAUUGCCAGAUUCAGUGACCAAUCUCUAUAAUUUACAAACAUUGAUACUAUCCAAUUGCAAGCAUCUUACAAGGUUGCCUUCCAACAUUGGAAAUUUAAUUAGCCUUAGACAUCUCGAUGUUGUUGGAUGUUCAUUGCAAGAGAUGCCACAGCAAAUAGGCAAAUUAAAGAAAUUGCAAACCUUGUCAGAUUUUAUUGUGGCCAAACGAGGAUUUUUGGGAAUAAAGGAGUUGAAGGAUUUGUCAAAUCUGCGGGGGAAGAUAUGCAUUUCAAAAUUGGAAAAUGUUGUGGAUGUUCAAGAUGCUAGAGAUGCCAAUCUAAACACUAAGCUCAAUGUUGAAAACUUGAGUAUGAUUUGGAGUAAAGAAUUGGUUGAUUCACAUAAUGAAGACACUGAAAUGGAAGUCCUCCUCUCUCUACAACCUCAUACCAAUCUGAAGGAACUCAGGAUUGAAUAUUAUGGUGGUCGAAAAUUCCCAAACUGGAUGUGUGAUCCCUCUUACACUAAAUUGGUUGCGUUAAGUCUUAUUGGUUGUAUAAGAUGCAUAUCACUACCUUCCGUUGGGCAACUACCCCUCCUCAAGAAGUUAGUCAUCAAAAAAAUGGAUGGAGUGAAAAGUGUGGGACUGGAGUUUGAGGGUCAAGUUUCUCUUCAUGCUACGCCUUUCCAAUGCUUAGAGUCUUUGUGGUUUGAGGAUAUGAAGGGAUGGGAAGAGUGGUGUUGGUCAACAAAGUCAUUUUCUCGCCUCCGUCAGUUGGAGAUAAAAAAUUGUCCAAGAUUGAUUAAGAAAUUACCCACACACCUAACUUCUCUAGUAAAGCUCAAUAUUGAGAAUUGCCCAGAAAUGAUGGUUCCACUUCCAACAGACUUGCCUUCUCUUGAAGAGCUCAAUAUUUAUUAUUGCCCAGAAAUGACACCACAAUUUGACAACCAUGAAUUUCUCAUUAUGCCACAGAGGGGAGCGAGUAGAAGCGCAAUUGACAUCACCUCACAUAUUUAUUUGGAAGUUAGUGGAAUAUCAGGACUUUCCAGACUUCAGCCGGAGUUUAUGCAGUCCCUGCCGAGGCUUGAACUUCUAGAAAUUGACAAUUCUGGUCAGUUGCAAUGUUUGUGGCUGGAUGGGUUGGGAUUAGGGAACCUCUCUCUUCUUCGAAUAUUGGGUUGUAACCAACUUGUAUCCUUGGGAGAGGAGGAAGAGCAAGGGCUGCCUUACAAUCUUCAGCGUUUGGAAAUAUCUAAGUGUGAUAAGUUGGAGAAGCUUCCACGUGGAUUACAAAUCUAUACAUCUCUUGCAGAGUUGAUCAUUGAGGAUUGCCCAAAACUGGUGUCAUUUCCAGAGAAGGGUUUCCCGCUCAUGCUUAGAGGUCUUUCUAUUUGUAAUUGUGAAAGUCUAAGUAGUCUACCUGAUAGGAUGAUGAUGAGAAACAGCAGCAACAACGUGUGUCACCUUGAAUACUUGGAGAUAGAGGAGUGUCCAUCUCUUAUUUGCUUCCCAAAAGGGCGGUUACCCACCACCCUUAGGCGACUAUUCAUAUCCAAUUGUGAAAAUCUAGUGUCUCUUCCAGAAGACAUCCAUGUGUGUGCCCUUGAACAGUUAAUUAUAGAGAGGUGUCCAUCUCUCAUUGGUUUUCCAAAAGGUAAGCUACCCCCCACUCUCAAGAAGCUUUAUAUACGGGGGUGUGAAAAGCUAGAGUCUCUACCAGAGGGAAUAAUGCAUCACCAUUCCAACAACACAGCCAAUUGUGGUCUUCAAAUCUUGGAUAUCUCACAAUGUUCAUCUCUCGCAUCCUUUCCUACUGGCAAGUUUCCCUCUACCCUUAAAUCUAUUACGAUCGAUAAUUGUGCACAGUUGCAGCCAAUUUCGGAGGAGAUGUUUCACUGUAAUAAUAAUGAACUUGAAAAGUUGUCCAUCUCGAGACACCCUAAUCUCAAAACCAUACCAGAUUGCCUCUACAAUCUCAAAGAUCUUCGGAUUGAAAAAUGUGAGAAUCUGGACUUGCAGCCUCAUCUAUUGCGAAACCUCACUUCUCUUGCAUCACUUCAGAUCACUAAUUGUGAGAAUAUCAAAGUGCCCUUAUCAGAAUGGGGCCUUGCCAGAUUGACCUCUCUUAGAACUCUUACCAUUGGUGGCAUAUUUCCAGAAGCCACCUCCUUUUCUAAUCACCACCACCACUUGUUUCUUCUUCCUACUACUCUAGUUGAGCUUUGCAUUUCACGUUUCCAGAAUCUGGAAUCCUUGGCCUUCCUGUCUCUCCAAACGCUCACCUCUCUUAGAAAGCUAGAUGUCUUCCGAUGUCCUAAGCUCCAGUCUUUUAUGCCAAGGGAAGGGCUGCCUGACAUGCUUUCAGAACUGUAUAUAAGAGACUGCCCACUCCUAAUUCAAAGGUGCUCAAAAGAGAAAGGGGAAGAUUGGCCAAAGAUUGCCCACAUCCCCUGUGUGAAAAUAGAUGACAAAUUGAUACUUGAGCAAUAAGAAGUUGAGAUGGCAGCAAAAUGAAUGCAGAGACCACCACUAUAUAUAUGUGUGCUUGGUAUUUUUCUUCAAUCUGCCAUAAUUCAUUGUGUCAUUUGUUUAAUUAUUGUUCCAAAUUUAUUUGUUUAAUUGAAUUGUCUCACAUGUCUUGCACAGUUGAAACUCAUCCAACGGAAAAAACUCUCCUUCACCAAUCACUGGUUUGCCAUCCAUGCUAUAAAGUCUCAUGCUUGAUGGUAAUGAAGGCUAAAAAAUCAGUAUCUCAUUGACAGAAGAAGAAGAAGAAGAAGAAGAAGAAGAAGAAGAAGAACAGAUUUAAUCUGUAUUUACAAUUGGAGGGCUUGGGAUCCCCUGCUCUACUCUGCUAUCCAAAAAUGUAAGCUGGACACCUUGCUUAAGAAGAUGCACAUGUGAAGUUUGCUUAAGCAGAUACACAUGUGAAGUUCUACAAAUCUAUAUGCUCCAGAUAAGGGACCAAUUCAUGAAGACACUAAUGGUAACAAGACUAUAUGCUCUGCCUUAAUCACCCUAUCAUAGAUAUGAGUGAUCCAUCACCCUUAAUCACAUUAUGAUUUUUUGUUGCAGAAACUGGAGUCAAUGUUUGCAAAAAAAUUGCAGAUAAAACUUACUUGAAAGCUUUUGUAGUUGUUUGAGUCAGAACUUUAUCUGGAGCCUCAUGACAUGCCUGUCGUUGGAUUGCAUAUCUAUGCAACACGCAUAGGCUAUCAAUUCCCUUUCUAUUGGAAUCAAGUAUGCCCAUUCAUUAUACGUAACUUUUUUCUUCUUAAGAAUUAUUUUCAAAAUGUUCAUUUUAAAGGAAUUCCAUUUCGUGCAUGUAGGGUGUGAAGGAGAAAAUAAUGCAAAUGGAAUCCAAUUCUCUAAUCACAGGGUCAGCCAGUUAAAGUGAGUAUACUCUAUUUCAUUCAUGAUCUUUUUUUACUUUGUGCAUUUCAAUUGCAUUGUCCUCAAGAAGCUUUCUUUUCCCAUACAUCUCUAUAUAAAGUUCUGCCUUUUUUUUUUCUUACGUAUUCAUAGAUGUACAUUUAUCAACAUAGGCCGUGUUCUUAAUGCUUUUAAACCUAUGAUUUCACAUUUUUCCAUCACGGGAUUCUUCCAUGUCUUUAUAAUUUUCCAUUUAUCAAUAUGAUCUUUGUUCAACUUACAGGUUUUUCAAGUGAGUGACAAAGAAUACAAAUGCUUAGAUAUCACUUUUUUCUUUGUCCUCUUGAUUGCACUGCAUCUUUAUUUGGAAUUGGAUAUUUCUCUUUGUAACUUGUUUUUCUUGUUAAUUACAUUCCUUCUUACAAUAAUUCAGGAUUGGCCUUUUCUCAAAAAUAAUUUUUCUUCUUCUUGGUCUUCUCCUCAGUUAAUGUAAGCAUCAAAUUUGUACGUCUUUGUUAAAUCUGUAGAUAAUUUUCUGGUUGAAUUGUAAACCACACUUAAAUAAAUCAAAGUUGCAGAAAUCUUGCUGGAUCACAAUUUACAAUCUUAUGUGGAUUCCAAAGAAAGAAAAUAUGCAACUUGGGAUUCAAUGAGCUAUGAUCAUUCUUACAUAACUAAAUCCCCCUUCAUUUGUAUCAUAUGUUCUGAUGGCAUUUCCUUUUUCUCAUUACAUAUACAUGAGGAAGAUUUUAUGACUUCCGUAAUAACUAUCUUUGCAUUUCAUUUUAUUUCAAGUAGAUUCAGGGGUAAAAAUUCUUUUGCAUGUGUCUUGACGUUUGGCACUUAAAACUCUACAAUGGUGUUUGGUGUUGAAAGAGGGGUACUUCAUUGCAGAAUAAUGAAAGCAUAAAUAGUUCUUUACUAUCAAUAGAAACUUCAUGGUUGUUAAGAUGCAUCUAAUUCUUUGUCCUUUUCUUGGCAUGUUCUUCGAUUUGUGGAAGACGUGGGAGGGAGAGCUUGAAUCAAAUUAAGCCAACUCCAUGCAAAAGAUGAAUUCUGGCUAUGAAACCUCACCACUCACAAGUUCUUUCUUAUCCAAGAAUUCUACAGUAGGUAAUUCGAGAUUACGUCUCAUCUUUGUAUCUCUUCGUGCUGAUGCACUCACUGAUUUCACUCUCGUGUUUUCAUCUGAUGGUGACCAACUCUUCCUCUUCUAUGCAGCCAUUAUGUGAUAAUAAGCUGAGCUCUGUCUUGCUUCAGUUCAAGCAGAGCUUUCUGAUUGAUCAGCAUGCUUCUGAUGAUCCUUCUGCUUCUCCAAAAGUUGCAGCUUGGAAAUGUGAAUGUGAAGGUAGUGAUUGCUGCUCAUGGGAUGUUGUAGAGUGUGACAGGGACACUGGCCAUGUGAUCGGCCUUAACCUUGGCAGCACCUGCCUCUAUGGUUCUACCAACUCCAGGAGCGCCCUCUUCCACCUUGUGCAUCUUCACAGGCUUGAUCUCUCUGAUAAUGAUUUCAGUUACUUUAAGAUCCUAUCUGGAGUUGUCCAGCUUUUGAGUCUAAGAAGUCUAAACCACUUGUCUUCCAGAUUCUCCGGCCAAAUCCCAUUGGAGCUCUUAGUGCUGUCUAAACUGGUUGUCCUUGAUCUCUCACAAAAUCCAUUGAAGCGCUAGUAACCUGACCUGGCUUCUGAUGCAGGGGUCAGAAGCAUUUCCUUGUUGUAGCAUUUGGGAAGCUGGUUGUAGCAUUCCUGGUGAACGGUGAUUUCUCCUGUCAAUUUGGUACACUUUCAGACUUGAUCUCUUGCAUAUCAUUGGAGAACCUUUAUCUUUUUUCUUUUUCCUCAAUAUUUUGUUUUUAGAAAGAUUUUAACUAAAAGUAUUGUGCAAUUUCAUUUGAAAAAAAUUUCAAAUCCUUUUCUAUGUGAAAUUAUGGAUCUUUAGUGUUCUGCAGACCCCUAAUAUUAGGAAUAUGGUGGUUUAUGUUGGCAUACAUGAUUUUCUCUUUAAAUCCUUGAACCCAGUGUACCAAUAUCCUAAACAUUUCUUUUUCUUUACAGAUAUAUGCUGGAAAUAUGAUAGGGUGAUGAAGGCCAAGGAACCACUUCGGUGUUGGUUUGGAGAUCAAUCACUGAAAGGUUCAGAUGAUUUCUUUUUCUAGUUUCUUCCAAUUUAGGGUAGAUUAAGAGGUAUCCUUAUGGUAGCAAAUUCUUCUGACCUAAAGCUUAAGUGAUCCUUUAGUGAAACAAAACAUAAUCCAGGAACAUUCCCUCCUUCAGUCACUGUUGCUAGCCUUCAGGAAGCUGAGCAUUUACAGAAAUAAAUAAAUAAAUGGUACCCUGCUUUCCAUAGCAACCAUGUUAGACUAAGAUUUUUUCAUUGACUUCUACGGGUGGCUUAUGCUGAGAAGUAAAAGUCAUUAAUCAGGGCAGGUUCCUUUUUGGGGUUUCUGUGAAGGAUGGAUAGACCUGAACUUGAGCAUUUUUGACUGAAGAUGAUGAAUCAAGACUGGAAUCUACUUCCAUUUUUGACAACCUGAGAAGGUAACAUUUUUCAAGCAAUGGCAUAAAAAAUCUGUGGUGUUGGUCUACCUUCCUAAACGAAAUAUUUUGUGAUGAAAGUAGAUUACUACUUGUUCUUUUUUUCUGCCAACAAAACUGAUGUGCUGGAUUGGAGUUGAGGAUUUUUUUUAAUUCCCUCAUUCAUAUUUGUUUGAGUGUAUUUGUGAUUCAUUCUUGAAUGAUUCUCUUCCCCUUUUACCUGAGUUUACCAAUAUGUUAGACCCUUCUAGGGAACAUGUUCAUACCCUGGGUUGUGGAUGAUUAAAAAAACUAGGUCAUCUUGGCAUAUGAUUGUAAAAAUUUUUUUAAAUGAAACCAUGUCAGAUCUUAUAUCCCUAAAAUAAUCUUGUAUUUGCAACUAAAGUUGCCUCAUUUUGAACAUUGUGAGUAAAAUGGGCUUGUUUCAGUUUUUAGAACAAAGAUGAAGGACCUUCAUUCCAUGGAUCCCUCAAUCAAACCCUAAGUUUUCUUAAAGAUGAGGUUUAUAGUGGAUGAGAGGAGGGGUAAUGAUUUCAAAAUGUUCUGCCUGCUUGGAGCCAUUUUAUGCUUCCCUCUGUUUUUUACACUUUUUUGAAGCUGAAACUGACAGUGUAAAGAAAUUUAUCUGAUUAGAAUGUCUCCUUCCUCUUUUGUUUAAUCUAAUCUUUUGUGUCUUGUCAUAUAUAUAUAUAUAUAUUCAGUUCACGGUUGAAGUAAUGUAAAUCACUGAGUGCUGGCUUGCUGCACACAGAUACAUGUUUUCUGGUAAAUUUGGAAGGAUCACAAUGUAAUACCGCAUAAUGUCAAGAAGUAAUAUCUGUCCUAUGCAUGUACAUUUUAGUGUCAAUCAUUUCUCAGUAGCAUCUAGGAUUCUUACUUGAUGGUUAAAAAGGUUCACAUUUCAGUUGUCUUGUGGAUCAUGGUUUUGGAAGCUAGUCACAACCCAAAAGCUGGAGUGCUUCAUCUAUAUAUGUCCCCGGUGAAAUCCCAAUUCCCAAACAGGUCAUUGUAUAUUGUAUGCCUAUCCUAGAGUUCUAUCAGAUGGGUGGAAUGCCAAUCAUGAAGAAGUAUAAAAACAGGGCUUUCAUAUGUAUAUGGGUUACAACCUGCUGUUCUAUCAGACAAGUAGUGAUCCAAUAGUCCAGUGGAAGGUGGUUGCUGAGAAUGAAUAUGGAAGAGAGAAUUUAUAGAAAAUUUGAAGUUCAAAAACUUUGAGGACCAGAUUACCUGUAGAACCUGAGAAAAGGGCAUAUCAAACCACACUCAAAACAGGUGAAAUAUUAUUUGUCUGAUGAUGUUGACUUGAGACAUUGCUGGAGUAUUGAGGGUCAUUCAUUGAAUUCUUAAAGUAAAACACAAGCAAGUUUUGCCUAUAUCAUUGGAUUUGUUGUUCAUUUUAUUUAUCACAAAGCUACCUUUUAUUGUCAACUAAUCAUUUACUUUUAAUCGGAAAUUCAUUUUGUUUUUUUAGUAGCGAGGAAUUUUCUAUCGUCAAGUCCUUAGAACUCUUGUUGGAGACCCAAAUAUCAUAAUACUGACCGCCCUGCAACAACCAGCGUCUGGUUUUGAGAAUCUUGUGCUCUAUAACUUUGUGUUGGCGUGGCCGAUAUUCUGGUAUUCCAAGUUGAAUUGUAUAAAUACAAAUUAAGAAUCGAUGCGAGCAUUGUGGAAGUGGCGCAGAUGGUAGUGUUGGAGCCAUGGAGGUGAUGUUAGCACUUAAGAGUAGUAUGAUAGUCGUACAGGUGUAAAACAACAAAAUUGAUGCUUCCAAAAAUAAUAAUUCUUAGCUUUAUUGAAAAGCAAUUUUAUAGAUUAGUUAUAUGUAUGUAUUUAGAAUGCCUUUGAUAGUCAUUCAAGUAAAUGUUAUUUUAGCAUUUAUAACACUUCAAAAUUUUCAUCAUUCAAGUAUUAAAAACACUUUGAUGUGAAACACAUUCUUAAUAAGAGAUGAAAUUUGAGAGAAAAUGGGUUUUGAUUUCUUAAUUUGAAAAAUAUAGAAAAAACAAUUUCAACUUUUAUAAACCAGUUUUAUUUUCAUUAAUUUAAAAAUAUUUUAAAAUAUGUACAUUUUUUCAUAACUCAAAUAGUUAUUUCUUGAAAUACCCUUUUACUUGAUGAUAUUAGAUAAAAUUAUCCAAAAUUAGUUAUUAUUUUAAUUUAAUAAAAGUGUUUUACAAAUAAAUAUAUUAUAAAAUUUUUAUUAUAUAAUAUAAGAUACAAAUUAUUAUAAAAAAGAUUUCUAGGAUACUCAAGUGAUAAAUAAAAUCUUUACAAUUUUUUAGUUAAUAACGAUUUUAUAUCAUGUAUUAUAUAAAUUCUCUCAUCUUCUCAUUUUAUUUAAUAAAAUUGAAUAAAAAUUUUGUUAGUUGAUAUGAAUAAUAAAAUAAGAAAUUUUAAAAAUUAAAAAUACAUUUAAAACUAAAAUGCAUAAAAAUUAAAUACAAACACACCUUAAAAAUUAAAAACGAAAAGAUUUACUUUUAUUAGAUUUUCAACUCUUGAUAUUUAUAUUUUCUAUCAAAGUGUUUUGAUUAAGUGAAUGUUAAUAUUUUAAUUUUAUAUUUUUAACUUUAAUUGUAUUUUUAAUUUUAAAAUUUUCUUUUUUUAUUAAUCUUAAAUAAGUUCUUAGGGUAAAAAAAGUUGUUAAUUUGUGUUAUUAAUAUAUAAGAGGGUCAUUUCAAGAAUUAAUUAUUUCUUGAUUAACAAAUUUUCUCCAUAAAAAUUAUAAUACUCUUCAAAAAUUUAAAAUCUGAAAAGUUUGUUACUCCAAUUUUUUUUAAAUAGAAAAUAUAUUAAAAGGGUUAUUUAGCUUUUUAUUUUAAAUACUUUAAAACAAAAUUUUAAAAUAAAAGUUAAAUGUGUUUAAUAUUUAUAAAUUUUUUUUUAAAAUACAUAUUUAUGUUUAAAACCAUCCAAACGGCACCUUAGUGCGGAGCUGCAAUAAUUGUGAAAGGCUGUCAUGGAUGCCAUGCUCUGCUUUUUCUUCAGCCGUGGCCAUGACGGCCAUUGGAAUCCUACGCGUUGACCCCUUUGACUCUCUGAUUGCUGAAGUCUUCGCACCACACAACCACUUUCACUUGUUUCCAUCUUCCCUUCUCUACUCUCAGCUCUUUGUUUGCCUUUGCUGAACACCAUGGAAGUUGUUGGAGAGGCUCUUCUUUCCGCUGCCUUUGGCUCGUUGUUUGACAAGUUGGGUUCCUCUGAUCUGAUUAAGUUCGCACGGCAGGAGGAUGUCCACACCGAGCUCGAGAAAUGGGAGAAGGAGUUGCAGAGCAUCCGGCAAGAGGUCAACGACGCGGAGGAGAAGCAGAUCACACAGGAGGCUGUCAAAUCAUGGCUGUUCGAUCUGAGGGUUUUGGCGUAUGAUAUGGAUGACAUCUUGGACGAGUUUGCUUACGAAUUGAUGAGGACAAAGCUGAUGGGGGCUGAAGCUGAUGAAGCCAGCACAAGCAAGAAACGCAAGUUCAUUCCUACCUUCUCUACUAGUUUCAGUCCAACUCAUGUUGUGCGUGAUGUUAAGUUGGGGUCCAAGAUUAGAGAGAUCACCAGCAGAUUACAACAUAUUUCAGCUAGAAAAGCUGGACUUGGACUGGAAAAGGCGGCAGGAGGAGCUACUUCUGCUUGGCAAAGGCCACCACCCACUACACCUAUAGCAUACGAACCUGGGGUUUAUGGCAGGGAUGAAGAUAAAAAAGUGCUUCUUGAUUUGCUGCACAAGGUUGAGCCCAAUGAAACCAAUGUUGGCGUCAUUUCCAUUGUUGGCAUGGGCUGGCUGGGCAAGACAACGCUUGCACGGCUGGUUUACAAUGAUGAAAUGGCCAAAAAUUUUGAUCUAAAAGCGUGGGUUUGUGUAUCUGAUGUGUUCGAUGUGGAGAAUAUAACAAAAGCAAUUCUCAAUUCGGUGGAAAGUUCUGAUGCAAGUGGCUCGUUGGACUUCCAACAAGUUCAAAAGAAAUUAGCAGACGCAUUGACAGGGAAAAAGUUUUUACUCAUUCUAGACGAUGUGUGGAACGAAGAUUCUGGUAAUUGGAACAGCUUGCGCGCCCCUUUUAGUGUAGGGGCAAAAGGAAGCAAAGUCAUGGUCACAACACGCAAUAAAGGAGUUGCAUUGAUGAUGGGAGCUGAGAAGAAUGUUUAUGAACUAAAAACUUUAUCAGAAGAUGCCUGCUGGUCAGUGUUUGAGAAGCAUGCGUUUGAACAUAGAAAUAUCGAUGAACAUCCAAACCUGGUGUCUAUUGGUAGGAAAAUUGUCAACAAGUGUGGCGGAUUGCCACUGGCGGCAACAACGCUUGGUGGCCUUUUACGCUCUAAACGAAGGGAAGAUGAAUGGGAAAAAAUAUUAAGUAGUAAAAUAUGGGGAUGGUCAGGCACAGAACCUGAGAUUCUCCCUGCGUUGCGAUUGAGUUAUCACUAUCUCCCUUCACAUUUGAAGAGGUGUUUUGCUUACUGUGCAAUGUUCCCCAAGGACUAUGAGUUCGACUCCAAAAAUUUGGUCCUUCUGUGGAUGGCCGAAGGUUUGAUUCAACAACCAAAAGGUGGUAGACAUACAAUGGAAGAUUUAGGCGAUGACUAUUUUUGCGAGUUAUUGUCAAGAUCAUUCUUUCAAUCAUCGAGUAAUCAUGAAUCACAUUUUGUGAUGCAUGAUCUUAUUCAUGACCUAGCUCAAGGUGUUGCUGGAGAAAUAUGUUUUUGUUUGGAAGAUGAGUUGGAGUGUAACCGGCAAUCCACAAUUUCCAAAGAGACUCGUCAUUCAUCAUUUGUUCGUAGAGAUGGGGAUGUGCUAAAAAAAUUUGAAGCUUUUCAAGAGGUAAAGCAUUUACGGACAUUUGUUGCUUUAAAUAUUCAUUGGGCGUCUACAAAAUCUUAUGUAACUAGUUUGGUGUGUAAUCAUCUAGUGCCAAAAUUUCAACGACUAAGAGUUCUCUCUCUGAGUCAAUACAAUAUUUUUGAGCUACCAGAUUCUAUUUGUGAAUUGAAACAUCUACGCUAUUUGAAUCUGUCCUACACCAAAAUAAGAUCUUUGCCUGACUCAGUGGGCAAUCUCUAUAAUUUACAAACAUUGAUGUUAUCCUUUUGUAUGCAUCUUACGAGGUUACCUCCCAACAUUGGAAACUUAAUUAAUCUUCGACAUCUCAGUGUUGUUGGAUGUUCAUUGCAAGAGAUGCCACAACAAAUAGGCAAAUUAAAGAACCUGCAAACAUUGUCUGAUUUUAUUGUGGGCAAAAGUGGAUUUUUGGGAAUAAAGGAGUUGAAGCAUUUAUCACAUCUCCGAGGGAAGAUUCGUAUUUCACAAUUGAAAAAUGUGGUGAAUAUUCAAGAUGCCAUAGAUGCCAAUCUAAGGACUAAGCUCAAUGUUGAAGAGUUGAUUAUGCAUUGGAGUAAAGAGUUCGAUGAUUUGCGAAAUGAAGACACCAAAAUGGAAGUCCUCCUCUCUCUACAACCUCAUACUAGUUUGAAGAAACUCAAUAUUGAAGGCUUCGGUGGUCGGCAAUUCCCCAACUGGAUAUGUGAUCCCUCUUACUCUAAAUUGGCGGAGUUAAGUCUCUAUGGUUGUAUAAGGUGCACAUCACUGCCUUCAGUUGGGCAACUACCCUUCCUAAAGAGGUUGUUCAUCGAAGGAAUGGAUGGAGUGAGAAGAGUGGGGCUGGAGUUUGAGGGGCAGGUUUCUCUUUAUGCUAAGCCUUUCCAAUGCUUGGAGUCUUUAUGUUUUGAAAAUAUGAAGGAAUGGAAAGAGUGGUCAUGGUCAAGAGAGUCAUUCUCUCGCCUCCUCCAGUUGGAGAUAAAAGAUUGUCCAAGACUGAGUAAGAAAUUACCCACUCACCUAACUUCUCUAGUAAGACUUGAAAUUAACAAUUGCCCAGAAACGAUGGUUCCACUUCCAACACAUCUGCCUUCUCUUAAAGAGCUCAAUAUUUAUUAUUGCCCAAAAAUGAUGCCUCUAUGGUCCUCUUUUGCAUUUGACCCUUUUAUAUCAGUGAAGAGAGGGAGUAGAAGUGCAACUGACAUCACCUCAGGUAUUUAUUUAAGAAUUAAUGGAAUGUCAGGGCUUUCUAGACUCGAGCAAAAGUUUUUGCGGUCUUUGCCAAGGCUUCAACUUCUGGAAAUUGACAAUUCUGGUGCUCUGGAAUGUUUGUGGGAAAAUGGGUUGGGAUUAGGAAACCUUGCUAGUCUUCGAGUAUCGGGUUGUAACCAACUUGUAUCCUUGGGAGAGGAGGAAGUGCAAGGGCUGCCUUGCAAUAUUCAAUAUUUGGAGAUAUGUAAGUGUGAUAACUUGGAGAAGCUUCCACAUGGAUUACAAAGCUAUGCAUCUCUUACAGAGUUGAUUAUCAAGGAUUGUUCAAAAUUGGUGUCAUUUCCAGACAAGGGUUUCCCGCUCAUGCUUAGACGUCUUACUAUUUCUAAUUGUCAGAGUCUAAGUAGCCUACCUGAUAGCAGUAAUUGCUGCAGCAGCGUGUGUGCCCUUGAAUACUUGAAAAUAGAGGAGUGUCCUUCUCUCAUUUGCUUUCCAAAAGGGCAGUUACCCACCACCCUUAAGGAACUGUAUGUAUCCGUUUGUAAAAAUCUGAAGUCUCUUCCAGAAGACAUCGAGGUUUGUGCCCUUGAACACAUAGAUAUAAGGUGGUGUUCGUCUCUCAUUGGUUUUCCAAAAGGAAAGCUACCAUCAACUCUCAAGAAUCUCACGAUAGGAGGGUGUAAAAAGCUAGAGUCUUUACCAGAGGGAAUAAUGCAUCACCAUUCCAACCACACAACCAAUUGUGGUCUUCAAUUCUUGGAUAUCUCGAAAUGUCCAUCUCUCACAUCCUUCCCUAGAGGCAGAUUUCUCUCUACCCUUAAAUCUAUAAGGAUUUGUGAUUGUGCACAGCUGCAGCCAAUUUUGGAGGAGAUGUUUCACCGCAAUAAUAAUGCACUUGAAGUUUUGUCCAUCUGGGGAUAUCCCAAUCUCAAAACUAUACCAGAUUGCCUCUACAACCUCAAACAUCUUCAGAUCAGAAAAUGUGAGAAUCUGGAGUUGCAGCCUUGUCAAUUGCAAAGCCUCACUUCUCUCACAUCACUUGAGAUGACUGAUUGUGAGAAUAUCAAGACCAUACCAGAUUGCUUCUACAACCUCAGAGAUCUUCGGAUCUAUAAAUGUGAGAAUCUGGAGUUGCAGCCUCAUCAAUUGCAAAGCCUCACUUCUCUUGCAACACUCGAGAUCAUUAAUUGUGAGAAUAUCAAGACACCCUUAUCAGAAUGGGGCCUUGCCAGAUUGACCUCCCUUAAAACUCUCAUCAUUUCUGAUUAUCACCACCACCACCACCACCACCACCCAUUCCUUCUUCCUACUACUGUAGUUGAGCUUUGCAUUUCAAGCUUCAAGAAUCUGGACUCCUUGGCCUUCCUAUCUCUCCAAAGGCUCACCUCUCUUAAAAGUCUAUGUAUCUCCCGAUGUCCUAAUCUCCAGUCGUUUUUGCCAACGGAAGGGCUGUCUGACACGCUUUCAGAACUAUCUAUAAAUGGUUGCCCACUCCUGAUUCAAAGGUGCUUAAAAGAGAAAGGGGAAGAUUGGCCUAAGAUUGCCCACAUCCCCUAUGUGAAAAUAGAUGGCCAAUUGAUCUUUGAGCAAUAAAAAGUUGAGAUUGCAGCAAAAUGAAUGCAGAGACCAUUCCACUAUAUCCUCUCCUUAUGUGCCACUAUUCGUUGUAAGUGUCAUUUGUUUUAUUGUCCCACAUUUAUUUUGUGAUGCAUUCCUGUACUCAAGUUAAUGGUUUCAUCUCUGUUAUUGAGAGUUACCUUCUAUUCUGUUUAUUAGGUUAUGGAGAUGUGAUAAAUAUGUAGAUUUGGCAAUUUCAUCUUCACUUGUAAGUUUCUUUAAUUGUGCCAUUUUGUUGAAUUUGAAUACUAACCUUUUUUUUCUUUUUAUAACUCAAUUAUUUUGAUUUUUUCAGUUUUCGACAAUUUGUCUCACUUUUGUUUAGUUGUUAAAUACUUCAACUGAUUUAUUUUAUUUUCCUGGUUUUGAUGAUCAUUUUUCUAAAGUUUUCUACUUUCAUGCUUGUUAUGUUUUAUAGAUACCUGCUAGAAGGGGCCUUUAGUUUCUUGACCUUUCUUAGUAGUCACUCCAAUUGCAGAAACUGGAGUCGACUUAAGCAAAAGAUUUGCAGAUAAAACUUACUGGAGGCUCUCACAUCUGUAUGAGUCAACUUUAUCAGGGGCCUCAUCUCAUGUGUGUCAUUAGAUUGCAUAUCCACACAAUAUGCAUAGGCUAUCCAUUCCCUUUCUUUUAAAAUCAAGCAUGCCUAGUCAUUGUAGAUAAUUUUUUCCUUGUUCGGAAUUCGUUUCAAAAUUUUCAUCUUAAAGGAAUUUCUUUUCAUGCAUGUAGGAUAUGAAGGUGAAAAUAAUGCAAAUGGAAUCCAAUUCUCUAACCACAGGGUCAGCCAGUUAAAGUGAGUAUACUUUAUUUCAUUAAUGAUCUUUUUUGACUCCUUGCAUUUCAAUUGCAUUGUCCUCAAGUAGCAUUCUUAUCUGACAUAUCUCUAAAUAAAGUUCUCCAUUUUUUCCCCUAAAUAUUCAUAGAUAUGCAUCUAUUAACUUAGGCCAUGUUCUUAAGGCUUUAUAGACCUAUGAUUUAUCAACCUAUGAUUUCAUGUUUCUCCAUCACAGUAUUGGAUCAUGUUUUUAUAAUUUUUCAUUUGUCAACAUGAUCUUUAUUCAACUUACAGGCUUUUCAAGUCAGUAAUAAAUAAUAUCUCCGAUUGAAAUGCUUCAUUUUCUAGGAAUAUCUCUGAUUUUAACUACAUUUCCUUUUACAAUAAUUCAGGAUUGGCUUUUGCUCUAAAAUAUCGAUUCUUCAUUUUGGUCUCCUUCACAGUCAAUGUAAUCAUCACUAUUUCUACAUCUUUGUUGUCUUUGUAAAUAAUUUUCUAGCUCGAAUUGUAUAACAUACUUAUUCAAGUCAAAGCUGCAGAAGUCCUGGCCCACAAAUUACCAUCUCAUGUGGACUCAGGAGAAAGGAAAUCCGCACGUUGAAAUACAGUGAGCUAUGCUAAUUCUUACAUAUUCAAAACCUUUUUAUUUGUAAAGCAUAUUCUGAUGGCAUUUCAAUAUUUAUGUAUUCAUUUCAUUUUAUUUUAAAUUUUUAAGUAGAUUCAGGGGUCAAAAUAGUUACCAUUGGCUUCAGAAUUGAACUUCAACUUCUGAGGAGCAUUCCCUUGUUGUAACACAAAAUGCUUUUGGAAGCUGGUUAUAGAAUUCCUGGGGAAUGGUGAUUUUCCCUAUUAAUUUGAUACACUUUUUGACUCAUUCUCCAGCAUAUUAUUGGAGAACCUAUUUUUUCCCCUCAAUCUAUUACUUCUAGGAAGAUUUUAACUCAAGUUGUUGCAUGGUUUCAUUUGAAAAAAUUGUCAAAUCCUCUUUUAUGUGAAGUUAUGGAUCUUUAAUUAGUGUUUUGCAGACCCCUAAUAUUAGGAUUUCUCUUUAAAUCCUUGAACCCAAUGUACCAUCUCAAACAUUUACAGAUGAAUGCUGGAAAUUGGAUAGGCUGAUGAAGGCCAAAGAACCAAUUUGGGGUAGAUUUGGAGAUCAAUCACUCAAUGGUUCAGAUGAUUUCUUUUUCUAGUUUCAUUUGAUUUAGAGUAGAUUCAGAGGCUAUACUCAUAGUAAUAAAUACACAGUACCCUGCUUUUCAUGGUGAUCAUGUUAGACUAAGAUUUUUUAUCAAUCUCUACAUGUGGCUUAUGCCAAGAAGUGAAAGCCAUUACUCAUGGCAGGUUACGUUCUGGGGCUUGUGAAGGAUGGAUGGACCUGAACUUAAGCAUUUUUUACUGAAGAUGAUGAAUGGAGACUUGAAUCUGCCCUAUUUCACCAAGCAACAGCAUAAAAAAUUAUGUAAGGUUUGUCAACUCGUCAAUAUAUCCUAAACUAAAUAUUGUGUGAUGGAAGUGGAUUGUGACAGCUUGCUCUUUGGGAUGGAGUUAAGGAUUUUUUUAUUCCCCCAUUCAUCUUUGUUUGAGCGUAUUUGUGAUUCAUUCUUAAGUUGUUUCCUUUCCUUUUUAUCUGAGUUUGCCAAUAUGUUCAUUCUAAAAUAUCUUGGCAUGCCUUAAAACUACCUCUAAGGGAACAUGUUCAUACCCCGGAUUGUGGCAAUCAAAAAAAGGGUCUAUCUUGGUAUAUGAUGGUAAAAAAAUGAAAUUCUUUCAUUUCUUGUAGCCUUAAAAUGAUCUUCUAUUUGCUACUAAAGUAGUCUUAUUUUGAGUGUUGUGUGUAUAAUGGACUUGUUGCGUUUUUAAAACUCAGUGGAAGUACCUUUAUUCCUUGGAGCCCCCAAUCUAUGGCUUAUAUUGGGUGAGAGGAGGAGUAUGAUUUUGGUAUGCUCUGCUUGUUUGGUGCCAUUUUAUGCUUCCCCCCAAAUUUUUUACACUUUGUGAAGCAAGUGACAGUGUACAGAAGUUUAUCUGAUUAGAAUUUUGCCUAUAUAUAUGUUUCUGUUCAUGGAUAAUGAAAAUGUAAAUCACUGAAUGCUGGCUUGCUUCCCGUAGAUACAUCCCUGUCGCUAAAGCUAAACAAAGGUUGUGUUUUCCCCUAAACUCAGAAAGGUUCAGAUUUCAAUCUUGUCUUGUAGCUGAUGCUUUUGGAAGCUCCUCAAACCCGAAAUUUUGAGUGCUUCAUCUGUAUGUAUCAUCUGUGAACUCCUGAACAGUUUGUUAUAAGAUAUGCCUAUCCUAGAGUUCUAUCAAAUGGGUGGAAAGCUAAUUACAAAGAAAUAUGGACAGGGUUUUCACAUGUAUGGUUUACAUCCUGCCAGUUCAAUUGGCCAACAAAUGAUCCAUUAGUCCAGAGGAAGAUCAUUGCUGACAAUGAAAAUGGAAGAGAGCAUCAAUAGAAGUUUUGAUGGACUUGAAUGAAGUUCAAAAAACUUGAGGACCAGAUCACCUGUAGAACUUCUGGGAAGCGCAUAUCAACCACACUCCACAAGUGAAACGUUACUUUUCCGAUGAUGUUUCAAGAUUUCAGACUCAAGGCAUUGCUGGAGUAUUGAGGAUCAUUCAUUGAAUUCUGAAUGUAAGACACAAGCAAGUUUUGUUUACACAGGUUAAUGUUGAUAAAUUUUCAUAGUAGGGUAGUUGAGAUCAUGGUUCCUGAAUAUGUUGUUCAUUGUAUUCAUCUCAAGUGACCGAACAAGGGUACCUUUUAUCGUUAAGAAAUGCAUGUCCAGAUAUUCUUCCCUCCAAAUAUGAAUGGUACUUUCUGGUUUUAUAAUCAAUACAAGGUGUGGAAGUGAAAUUGAUUAUGCUAAUGCAUGAACUUCAGUAGCCAGAUAAACCACCAUUGACAGCCAUUGGAGUCCCAUGUCUCUAACUUUCACUUCAUCUCAAGUUGCUUACUCAGCUUUCACACACAGCAAACCAUUAAUUCUUUCUGCUUCGCCUUUUUACAGCAUCCUUUAGAUUCCCACUCUCUUUCUCCUAAGAAACCAUGCAAGUUGUUGAGGUUGUUCUUUCUGGUUCCUUUCAAGUGCUGUUUGGCAAGCUGGGUUCCUCUGAUUUGUGGAAGUUUGCACACCAAGAGCAAGUCCAAACGGAGCUCAAAAAAUGGCAGAAAGACACUGGAAAAUCCAUGCAGUUCUAAAAUGGUGCCAAGAGAAGCAGCUGAAUCAACUAUGCUUUACCUGGAAAGUACUGAGAAAUAGAGAAGAAAUAUUAAGAAAAAUAAUUUAUAAUGAAAAAUAUGUUUAUAUAUUUUUAAAUUAUUUAAUUUUUAUAUAAAAAUAAAUAAAAAUUGCAGAGAUCUGAGGCAUCCUUUCUCUGUAAUUCAUCAACAAACUAUUACAGAUUGAGCUUCAAAAAUAUUUCACACAAAAUUAUUAUAGAUGUGGUUACAACUUACAAAUAUUUGAUAUGAAAUACAGAAAGCCCAAAACCAACAGCCUAUAGUAGAACACAGUUAUUACACUAAGCCCAACAAGCCCAAUGAACCCUAGUUUACUUAUUUGCGUCCAACAGCCCAUCAACAGCCCUUGGCUUCAGACCCUUCCCAAAAGCUGCCUACCCCAAGCCGCCUUCUUCUCUAUUGCUUCCUGCCAGGCUACCACUGCUCCCACAGCUGAGAGAGAUGCUGUGAAUGGGAGCAAGCUUCCCUUUUUUAUAGACCUCAAGGGAAGUUCUUCAAUUGCGGUUUGGGUGUUGGGUGGCAACUAACAUCGAUGAACAUAGGCGGCAGUGGUGGUGCUGACUUCAAUCUUCCAGCGUUUCCGGCGAGUCGGUGGUGGUGGUGGUGGUGGAGAGGGCAUAGGGUGAC
rnacentral:lncRNA from 1 species